rnacentral:ncRNA from 1 species
AGUCCUCGCCAAUAGGACUAUAAAUAUAGAAAGCGAUUGUAAAGUUUCGCCUGCGGUUUCGUAAUGCCGACGCAAUAAAAGGACGGGGAUUGUAUAUGUGUUCCUAUUCAAACAAUGCAAUUCCUAAAUGGUAGAAGAUGUUGCGAAGCCAGUACCGCCUGGCGAUGAAAUGGCGGACGAAUUAGCAACAAAGGGUAAGGUUUAAUCGCCGAAGUUAGAUUUCGGAUAGCUGCGGAAGUGGCGGGAUUGGUAUAGUAGAUCA